rnacentral:rRNA from 1 species
AUUUCCAGACUGAACUACGCGGUGCUCACUCUCAUUCCUAAAAUCAAAGGGGCCGAUCUGAUUACCCAAUUCAGGCGCAUCGCCCUUAUCAACAAUUUUGCGAAGCUUCCGGCCAAGGGGUUGGCUACCAGGCUUUCUUCGAUCGCCCAUCGUGUCAUCAGUCCUUUCCAAUCUACUUUUAUAAAAAGUAGAUUCAUUCUUGAUGGUAUCAUUUGCUUACAUGAGAUCGUCCAUGACUUGCGUUCCAAGGGGACCAAGGCAGUGGUUCUUAAACUGGACUUCGAGAAGGCUUACGACUCUGUGAGCUGGGAUUUCCUUCGCCAAGUUCUUCUAGCUAAAGGCUUUGAGGGUGCGGUGGUUCAUCGUUUGAUGUAG